GCUGAAGGAAGAAAACAGAACUUGCUUGGAGACGAAAUUUACAAAAUGAUGUCCGCGAAGAUUCUGUUGAAAAUCCUGAUUUUCUCAGCCUGGCUGAGCUUGGCUAGUGGUCUAACGCAAAGCGACAAGGUAGUUGAUACUAAAAUGAUGAUAGGUGCAUACAUUUGGGAAAAUAUCUUAUAUAUUUUUUCAAAAUUUAAGCCCAGCAGGUUCUCUAUAUUACUGCGCAUAUUACGAUUGUGAAUUGUAUGCAUGACGCUAUUUAUACUGUUUUGGAGAACUGCUGCCCAUGCAUGGGAUCGAUCAAACAUAUGUAUCGCACAACUAUACUUUACAUGCAUGUGUGUUAAUCAUGAAAGCAUAACAAAUAUAAAAUAUAAAAAAACUUUGAAAAUGAUUUAUAUACAGGGUGUCCCACAAACCCGCGUAUAAAAGAACCACUAUUUUUAUGUCAGGCGAUUUACGUGAUUUCGGGUAUUUAGUGACGGAAAUCGGGUUAAGUUGGUUCUUAAAACUGGUUCUUUAUAUUUCAAGUGGAAAACAAUUGUUCCUAUAGUUUGGUGUUUUAAAUUAUUUGUUUCUCCAAUUAGUAUACAAACUGUUGAUCAGUAUUAUACACGUCGUCUAAUGAUUGCUAUUUAAAAGUUUCUGAGUUUCCUCAUGAGUAUACCCAACAACAGAUUAUAUGCUUUUCCAUUUGCAAUGGUACCGGCCUGCCCUUACUUAGAACAUGCAUUCUAGAGGAUUUUUUUGAGAAUCAGUCUUAUUCGUCAGCCUGAAGUGAUCCUUGUAUUUUGGGUGCUUAAUUUUGCUAAAUGUCAGGCUGUUGCUUCUUAACCCACUGUUCCUUUUAGGCGAGUUUUACCGUACGCAAAUGAGAGCAUGACCGCAUGCGGUUAAGCGAACAUGCGGUUAGUUAUGAUUUUAUCCAUACAUGCAUGCUCCACUCAGACUUGAUGCCUACUAAAAAUAUGUAACUCACAUCAAUACCGACAUAGUAAUACCACAAAACAUAUAGUGGGGGACGUUUAUUGGACAUCCUGCAUGUAUAUGUAGAGUCUUUAUAAGUGUAAUGUAUAUUGUAUAGAGUUUUCCAAGAAAGGCAACCGAGUAUAUCAGCAGUGUAUUUAAGGCCUGUUUUAUACGUCGAAUUUCGGUCGCGUCGAAUGCAAUUCAAACAAUACAUAAUGAAGCUUAAUAAAACGGGCCUAUAAGAAGUGCAUCAGCGACCUUUUAUUAAUUGUUCUGAAAGUUUGCAUUCACUUCAGAAGCAAACAUACUUUUUUACAAGUUGCCAAAUUGGGCUACCUCGUCACAUCUGCUGUGAUCGCUUUGGCAAGAAUGAAGGAACAUUUCAAUGAAAAGAGUUGAACCAUACAGCAGCUUCAUACAAGAAGAAACAGUCAACAAUGAGUAUGGCUAAAAUAAUUUGAAACGUGGCAUAAGCCUCACCACAUAAGAUAUCUUAAUCUCCGUGUUUGGAUAUUGUACGAUGAAACUUGACAACUGUUAAGUGUGUUGACCCAGAUUAUUGAGUUCCUUCAGCAGUAAGAUAAAUAUUACUAAUAAUUAAUUCCACAUUCUGAGCGUAAUAGGGAAUUAAAUAUGCAGCAUAUAUAAUCCGAAAUGCCUAAUCUUUCUUGAUCAAUAUAACUUACACUGGAAAAAGCUGAGUGAAAUUCAUACUAUGGAAUUUGCGAUUGCAUCACUAGAUCCAUAGUAUAUCCAUACUAUUACCAUACUACAUCCAUGGUAUAUGGAAAAUACGAUUUGUAUGAAAAUUGGAUUUCCAUACUAUUUCCAUAGUUAUAAGAAUUUGGAAAAAAUUCCUCCCAGUGUUAUUCCUAAAAAGUUCUCUUUCUUGGGACGGUAUACAGUAUAGAGACACGUUUUACUGGCCUCAAAUGUAACUGCAUGAGAAAACAGGAAUAUGUGCUCCUGGAGAAAACCCGUAGUGUUUUGUGGAAUCAAAUUACAAGUACUUUUCUGACAUGUCAAUGAGGUGAAGAUACAGCAGAAUUUGAAUUAAGAAUUGGUCAGUCAAAGGGCCGAAAGAGGAUCCUAACUUGGAGUUGCUGAACAGAAAAAGUAGGACGUGUGACCGGGUGUGGGUCUUGUAUUUUUGAGCCUCUGGGCCUUGAUUUUCAGCAUUUUUAUACAAACAAUUUUUGAUAUAUUACUUAAUUAACUUAACUAAGACAUUCUUUCCUUUUGUACUUAUAUUUUACACAGAAGGGACCUUCACUGGCAGAGGGGGAGGGUCACUGGACGGGGCCAACAUUUGGGCUGGGGGGCAUACCUUCCCACCUCGCCGCCUAUGUGUCGGAGGCCACGGUUUUAAACCAGACAAAUGAAACUCGAGGAAACACAGUAACUAACCACUGCUAUUGCAACUGAGCCAUAAAUAAGCGAGCCGACUGAAUUUCUAAUGCGAAUUUGUAAGUCAGCAAUAUCAGCGUGGUUACCCAAAAAUCUGUUGAAAAGGAAAACGAUUCUCUAUAUUCAGCUUCAUAGUUCAUAAUUCAUGACUUUGCCAUGCAAAAUAUUACACUUCAUGUAUACCUGGGCAAUGACCUAGUCAUUUUGUUUCGCAUGGUUACAUUUCAGAAAUUUUCCAAGUGUAACAUUGGGCAACACCUCAACCAUAAAGACAGAACUGAGCGUUUGAAAUUGCUGAUUUGUACAGAAAAAAUUAAAGGCGUUCCUCAAUGGAAAUUUGUUGACG